GAUGAACGCUGGCGGCGUGCUUAACACAUGCAAGUCGAACGAAGCACUUUAUUUGAUUUCCUUCGGGACUGAUUAUUUUGUGACUGAGUGGCGGACGGGUGAGUAACGCGUGGGUAACCUGCCUUGUACAGGGGGAUAACAGUUGGAAACGGCUGCUAAUACCGCAUAAGCGCACAGCAUCGCAUGAUGCAGUGUUAAAAACUCCGGUGGUAUAAGAUGGACCCGCGUUGGAUUAGCUAGUUGGUGAGGUAACGGCCCACCAAGGCGACGAUCCAUAGCCGACCUGAGAGGGUGACCGGCCACAUUGGGACUGAGACACGGCCCAAACUCCUACGGGAGGCAGCAGUGGGGAAUAUUGCACAAUGGGCGAAAGCCUGAUGCAGCGACGCCGCGUGAGCGAAGAAGUAUUUCGGUAUGUAAAGCUCUAUCAGCAGGGAAGAUAAUGACGGUACCUGACGAAGAAGCACCGGCUAAAUACGUG
rnacentral:rRNA from 1 species